GAUGAACGCUGGCGGCGUGCCUAACACAUGCAAGUCGAACGGGAUCCCUUGGAUUCGUCUGGGGGUGAGAGUGGCGAACGGGUGAGUAACACGUAGGUGACCUGCCCCAAAGAGGGGAAUAACUGCUGGAAACGGUAGCUAAUACCCCAUGUGCUCGAUGGUUCGGUCUGUCGAGUAAAGUCCCGGCGCUUUGGGAGGGGCCUGCGGCCCAUCAGGUAGUUGGUAGGGUAAUGGCCUACCAAGGCAAAGAUGGUUAGCUGGUCUGAGAGGAUGAUCAGCCACACUGGAACUGAGACACGGUCCAGACUCCUACGGGUGGCAG
rnacentral:rRNA from 1 species